rnacentral:rRNA from 1 species
GACGAACGCUGGCGGCGUGCCUAAUACAUGCAAGUCGAACGCAGUGGGGACGGGUGAGUGACACGUGGGUAACCUCCCAUCAGAGGGGAUAACACUUGGCAACAGGUGCUAAACCGAUACGGGUUGAUGUAGCCGCGGUGCAUUAGCUAGUUGGUGGGGUAACGGCUCACCAAGGCCACGAGGCAUAGCCGGCCUGAGAGGGUGAUCGGCCACACUGGGACUGAGACACGGCCCAGACUCCUACGGGAGGCAGCAGUAGGGAAUCUUGGGCAAUGGACGAAAGUCUGACAGAGCAACGCCGCGUGAGUGAAGAAGGUUUUCGGAUCGUAAAACUCUGUUGUUAGAGAAGCGUUAUCUAAACAGAAAGCCACGGCUAACUACGUGCCAGCAGCCGCGGUAAUAC